rnacentral:rRNA from 1 species
AUUGAACGCUGGCGGCAGGCCUAACACAUGCAAGUCGAACGAGUGGCGGACGGGUGAGUAAUGUCUGGGAAACUGCCCGAUGGAGGGGGAUAACUACUGGAAACAGUAGCUAAUACCGCAUACCAUCGGAUGUGCCCAGAUGGGAUUAGCUAGUAGGUGGGGUAACGGCUCACCUAGGCGACGAUCCCUAGCUGGUCUGAGAGGAUGACCAGCAAAACGUGAACUGAGACACGGUCAGGACUCCUACGGGAGGCCGCAGUGGUGAAGAUGGGACAAUGGGCUAUGGUCUUAUGCAGCCCGUCCGCUUGUAGGAAGAUGGACUUCUGGUUGUAAAGUACUUUCAUCGGGGAGGCGUUACCCUCAGAAGAAGCACUGGCUAACUCCGUGGCAGCCGCCGCGGUAAUUC